CAGUCGCCGCGGGAAUACGAGGGGGGCAAGCGUUGUUCGGAAUUAUUGGGCGUAAAGGGUGCGUAGGCGGUUUGUUAAGACAGAUGUGAAAUCCCCGGGCUCAACCUGGGAACUGCAUUUGUGACUGGCAAGCUAGAGUCUGGCAGAGGGGGGUGGAAUUCCGCGUGUAGCAGUGAAAUGCGUAGAUAUGCGGAGGAACACCGAUGGCGAAGGCAGCCCCCUGGGCCAACACUGACGCUCAUGCACGAAAGCGUGGGGAGCAAACAGGAUUAGAUACCCGGGUAGUCCCUGUCUCUUAUAC
rnacentral:rRNA from 1 species